rnacentral:rRNA from 1 species
GCUUAUGGCCAUACAAGGCUUAAUGCACCUGGUCUCAUCUGAUUUUUGGAAACUAAGGAAUCUUGAACCUGGCUAGUAAUUGGAUAUGAGACCUCCUGGGAAUCCUAGACACGAUAGGUA